rnacentral:rRNA from 1 species
UACGUAGGGGGCAAGCGUUGUCCGGAAUCAUUGGGCGUAAAGCGCGCGUAGGUGGCCCGGUAAGUCCGCUCUGAAAGUCAAAGGCUCAACCUUUGAAAGCGGGUGGAUACUGUCGGACUAGAGUCCGGAAGAGGCGAGUGGAAUUCCUGGUGUAGCGGUGGAAUGCGCAGAUAUCAGGAGGAACACCAACGGCGAAGGCAGCUCGCUGGGACGGUACUGACGCUGAGGUGCGAAAGCGUGGGGAGCAAACAGG